CGUUAGCGGCGACGGGUGAGUAACACGUGGGUAACCUACCUAUAAGACUGGGAUAACUUCGGGAAACCGGAGCUAAUACCGGAUAANAUUUCGAACCGCAUGGUCCGAUAGUGAAAGAUGGUUUUGCUAUCACUUAUAGAUGGACCCGCGCCGUAUUAGCUAGUUGGUAAGGUAACGGCUUACCAAGGCGACGAUACGUAGCCGACCUGAGAGGGUGAUCGGCCACACUGGAACUGAGACACGGUCCAGACUCCUACGGAGCAGCAGCG
rnacentral:rRNA from 1 species